GCAGGUUAGUGCCAAGCAAGUGUGGCUGCCUGGUACCAACCACCGACGAGAAAGUCACCGAAUUCACCAGUCUGGCUCCCCAAUUCUGUCUCACACUGUUGCUUCAGCCUUGGCCAAGGUGUAUCUUAGGCAACUUGUACCUGCUGUGCACUUCCCAAGGGCACCAUGCUUAAUGAUUCUUCCCAGAAGAAUGCUUCUUACGACUCAAGAUGACAAGGCCCACCAGAAGGGUGUUCUACAUCAGUAAGACAUGGACUGUUGGUGGUGACUGUAGGAGGCUUCUGUCACCUAUUUUAGUUAUAUCCAGAAUGUUUCUGGCGCAUUGCUUAAAGGCCUAUUCUCUUCUGUGUUUGCAACUUUGAAGCAGUUAGGACAUUAGACCUUAGAAACCAAAGUGAUGUUUAAAUUGCAAACCAAAUACCCAAAGAACAACAAAGUAGUAUAAUAAAAAAAAAAUGCCUAAAGAACUUGCCCCUGCCGUUUAUUGUUAGGUGGCCUAGAUACCUACAACUGUUUCUUGAGCUGAAUAGUAUGGGUUUAAAAUAUGUCAGUACCUGCAGUUUAAUACAUUCUUAAAGCAUAAUUAAAGGGGUUAUUUCCAAACAUCUUUGUCAAUACAUAUAUUUUCAGAUUGUUCACCAGAAAUAAAGACUUCUUCAGUUGC